GUACAGUGGCGAACGGGUGAGUAACACGUGGGCAACCUGCCCCGGAGAGAGGGACAACCCGAGGAAACUCGGGCUAAUACCUCAUGAUCCGUCCCGACUUAAGUCGGGCCGGCAAACGGUAGCUUCGGCCUCCGCUCUGGGAUGGGCCCGCGCCGGAUUAGCUAGUUGGUGAGGUAACGGCUCACCAAGGCGACGAUCGGUAUCCGGCCUGAGAGGGCGGACGGACACACUGGGACUGAGACACGGCCCAGACUCCUACGGGAGGCAGCAGUGGGGAAUUGUUCGCAAUGGGCGCAAGCCUGACGACGCAACGCCGCGUGGAGGACGAAGAUUUUCGGAUCGUAAACUCCUUUCGAUCGGGAAGAACAGCUCAUAGGUAAAUAGCCUGAGAGUCUGACGGUACCGAGAGAAGAAGCCCCGGCUAACUCCGUGCCAGCAGCCGCGGUAAUACGGGGGGGGCAAGCGUUGUUCGGAAUUACUGGGCGUAAAGGGGUUGUAGGCGGCCAACUAAGUCCGACGUGAAAUCCCAAGGCUUAACCUUGGAACUGCGUCGGAUA
rnacentral:rRNA from 1 species